CGGAGCUCGGCUUCAGGAGUACUUUUCAAAAUAUCAUGUAUUUUGCUAACUCUAUAUAACUCCAUGUGUCAUUUCAUCCAGAAAACUUGUUUCUAAUGCUUUUUUCUCUGGACUCUAAGCUGGUUGAUGCCACCAGGCCUUGGGAAAAAGCCUGCCUUCUGAUAGGAUUGCUAUUGAGUAGCAAAAAUUCUUGGAUUCUGAUAACAUCUUUCAUGCAGAAACUCAAAGCAUCUCCCAAAUUAUAAGCCCAUUCUUUUACACUGUUCUACACUCUCACACUCUAGGAACAACUCAUUUCAAUCUUGGGACAUUGACCAGAAUUCAGGGAAACUAGCAUGAUCCUUCCAGUCUGACGUUUCAUUCCAUCUACUGUCCAAAGCUGUGUCUACAAGGCAUCACCUAUGAGACAAUAAAACAAACCCUCUGAAAUCAGGAAAUUUGCCAGAAGAUGGCGAGCUGGGAAGAAAUAAAACCAGGAUUUGAGCCAGGACUGACUGCAAAGUGCGGUGCUAGAGGACCUUCUGAGUCAAGCCCUGGGACUUCUUCACCUACAGAAAGCAGGGUAUUGGCAAGACAGCAUUUCUUGAAAGAGUGUUCUGUUAUUGUUUCUAGAACUUGGCUUCAAGCUGACCUCACCCCACCUGCAAGUCUUAAUACACUUGGACAUGCCAUGAAAUGACAAGAAAUAUUCAGAUUUUAGAUAUGUAAAAAUAUUAAAACUAUGCCUCUUAGAAUC
rnacentral:lncRNA from 1 species